rnacentral:rRNA from 1 species
CCUACGGGGGGCAGCAGUGAGGAAUAUUGGUCAAUGGACGCAAGUCUGAACCAGCCAAGUAGCGUGCAGGAUGACGGCCCUCCGGGUUGUAAACUGCUUUUAGUUGGGAAUAAAAGGGGGCUCGUGAGCCCCGUAUUGUAUGUACCAUCAGAAAAAGGACCGGCUAAUUCCGUGCCAGCAGCCGCGGUAAUACGGAAGGUCCGGGCGUUAUCCGGAUUUAUUGGGUUUAAAGGGAGCGUAGGCCGGCUUUUAAGUCAGCGGUAAAAAUGCGGUGCUCAACGCCGUACAGCCGUUGAAACUGGCAGUCUUGAGUGGGCGAGAAGUAUGCGGAAUGCGUGGUGUAGCGGUGAAAUGCAUAGAUAUCACGCAGAACUCCGAUUGCGAAGGCAGCAUACCGGCGCCCGACUGACGCUGAGGCACGAAAGCGUGGGUAUCGAACAGGAUUAGAUACCCGGGUAGUC